GGGGAUGUAGCUCAGUGAUGCAGCGCUUGCCUAGCACGCACGAGGGCCUGGGUUCCAACCCCAGCACCCUA
rnacentral:tRNA from 1 species